UAAAGUGGGGAUAACAUUUGGAAACAGAUGCUAAUACCGCAUAAACCUAACACCGCAUGGUGUAGGGUUGAAAGAUGGUUUCGGCUAUCACUUUAGGAUGGACCCGCGGUGCAUUAGUUAGUUGGUGAGGUAAAGGCUCACCAAGACCGUGAUGCAUAGCCGACCUGAGAGGGUAAUCGGCCACACUGGGACUGAGACACGGCCCAGACUCCUACGGGAGGCAGCAGUAGGGAAUCUUCCACAAUGGACGAAAGUCUGAUGGAGCAACGCCGCGUGAGUGAAGAAGGUUUCGGAUCGUAAAACUCUGUUGUUGGAGAAGAAUGUAUCUGAUAGUAACUGAUCAGGUAGUGACGGUAUCCAACCAGAAAGCCACGGCUAACUACGUG
rnacentral:rRNA from 1 species